rnacentral:rRNA from 1 species
CUACGGGCUGCACCAGUGAGGAAUAUUGCACAAUGGGGGGAACCCUGAUGCAGCAACGCCGCGUGGAGGAUGACGCAUUUCGGUGUGUAAACUCCUUUUAUAUGUCAAGAAAAUGACGGUAGCAUAUGAAUAAGCACCGGCUAACUCCGUGCCAGCAGCCGCGGUAAUACGGAGGGUGCAAGCGUUACUCGGAAUCACUGGGCGUAAAGGACGCGUAGGCGGGUUGGAAAGUCAGGUGUGAAAUCCUACAGCUUAACUGUAGAACUGCACUGGAAACUUCUAAUCUAGAGUAUGGGAGGGGGAGAUGGAAUUAGUGGUGUAGGGGUAAGAUCCGUAGAUAUCACUAGGAAUACCUAAAGCGAAGGCGAUCUCCUGGAACACUACUGACGCUAAGGCGUGAAAGCGUGGGGAGCAAACAGGAUUAGAUACCCGGGUAGUC